GAGAGUAAGGGCGCACGGUGGAUGCCUUGGCACUAGGAGCCGAAGAAGGACGUGACAAACGACGAUAUGCCUUGGGUAGCUGUAAGUAAGCGAUGAUCCAGGGAUUUCCGAAUGGGGGAACCCAACAGGUACUACCUGUUACCCAUCUCUGUUAAGGAGAUGAGGAGGAAGACGCAGUGAACUGAAACAUCUAAGUAGCUGCAGGAAGAGAAAGCAAAAGCGAUUGCCUUAGUAGCGGCGAGCGAAACGGCAGGAGGGCAAACCGAAGAGUUUACUCUUCGGGGUUGUAGGACUGCAAUGUGGACUCAGAUUUUAUAGAAGAAUGACAUGGGAAGGUCAGCCAAAGAGAGUAAGAGCCUCGUAUUUUAAAUAGAAUCUGUACCUAGCAGAAUCCUGAGUACGGCGGGACACGUGAAAUCCCGUCGGAAUCUGGGAGGACCAUCUCCCAACCCUAAAUACUCCCUAGUGACCGAUAGUGAACCAGUACCGUGAGGGAAAGGUGAAAAGUACCCCGGGAGGGGAGUGAAAUAGUACCUGAAACCAUGUGCCUACAAACCGUUGGAGCCUCCUUGUGGGGUGACAGCGUGCCUUUUGAAGAAUGAGCCUGCGAGUUAGUGAUGCGUGGCGAGGUUAACCCGUGGUGGGGGAGUCGUAGCGAAAGCGAGUCCGAUAAGGGCGUGAGUCGCGUGUUCUAGACCCGAAGCGGUGUGAUCUAUCCAUGGCCAGGAUGAAGCGUCGGUAAGACGUCGUGGAGGUCCGAACCCACUUCAGUUAAAAAUGGAGGGGAUGAGUUGUGGAUAGGGGUGAAAGGCCAAUCAAACACCGUGAUAGCUGGUUCUCCCCGAAAUGCAUUUAGGUGCAGCGUUGCGUGGUUCUUGUUGGAGGUAGAGCACUGGAUGGUCUAGGGGGCUUAUCGGCUUACCGAAAUCAGCCAAACUCCGAAUGCUGGCAAGUGUAGCGUGGCAGUGAGACGGCGGGGGAUAAGCUUCGUCGUCGAGAGGGAAACAGCCCAGAUCAUCAGCUAAGGCCCCUAAGUGGUGACUCAGUGGGAAAGGAUGUGGAGUUGCGUAGACAACCAGGAGGUUGGCUUGGAAGCAGCCAUCCUUGAAAGAGUGCGUAAUAGCUCACUGGUCAAGU
rnacentral:rRNA from 1 species